rnacentral:rRNA from 1 species
UUGAGCGAUUUACUUCGGUAAAGAGCGGCGGACGGGUGAGUAACGCGUGGGUAACCUACCCUGUACACACGGAUAACAUACCGAAAGGUAUGCUAAUACGGGAUAAUAUAUUUGAGAGGCAUCUCUUGAAUAUCAAAGGUGAGCCAGUACAGGAUGGACCCGCGUCUGAUUAGCUAGUUGGUAAGGUAACGGCUUACCAAGGCGACGAUCAGUAGCCGACCUGAGAGGGUGAUCGGCCACAUUGGAACUGAGACACGGUCCAAACUCCUACGGGAGGCAGCAGUGGGGAAUAUUGCACAAUGGGCGAAAGCCUGAUGCAGCAACGCCGCGUGAGUGAUGAAGGCCUUCGGGUCGUAAAACUCUGUCCUCAAGGAAGAUAAUGACGGUACUUGAGGAGGAAGCCCCGGCUAA